ensembl:lncRNA
GUCGUGCAGCAUCUUAUUUGACAAAAAAUAAAAAUGCAAUGUUUUGUUGUAAAUUAGUUGUUAUAUUUCACUUUAUAUUUUAUAUUUUUAAGAUUAAUUAAAUUGUUAAAGUUUUAUUAAUCUUUUUCAUUUGACGUGAUUUUUGAUGAUAAAUUUGUAUUAUCAUAAAAUACUUAAAAUGGAAAACAGAAUUUCGGGAAAAAUCAAAUGGAUUUCAUGGGGCCCUAAAUUAAAAGCUGGCUUUUAACAAACACACGCCGAGCAUUUCCUUUCAUAUUAAUGGUAAUUGUGAUAUAAAUAUUGACAUAGUAUGACAUGGAGAAAAAAAUUGUCAGAAUAUUUCUGUCCAUAUCGCCCAGCCCUAAUUUUAUAAUUCAUAAUGAAAAGUACUGAAAAUUAAAAUGAACAAAAGAGGAAAAUAAAAUUAAAAAUGCACAUACUACAUAAACAAGUUUCCCUAAAUUGAAAAACAAAACAAAAACAACAUAGAAUAGAUAAAAUUAAAAGGUUUAUUUUAAAGUGCAUUAAUGGAAUAAAGCAGUAGUCAACUGUGUUUGGACGGGGCAAAAAUUGGGCAAGUUUUCAUUCUUUUUGGAUGGGUGUUGAGUAAGCUUUGGGCUGGAUUUUCUUUCUGGGACCUGGCAACCCUGGCGGCGUUCUGCGCUCAUGAAUUGAUAAACAAUUCAAGAUGGCGUCGUGUAUAGUGUUGACUGGCCAUCACUCGGUGCUGUCUAUUUUACAGUCUCUGCUUAUAUUCGUAUGUUUCAUUAGCACGAACUACUCUCUUUGGACUUAUGACUGCAAAACCUUGCUUCGCAUUCGCGCAGUGAUGGCAGAUCUCACUCAGAGCGGAAAAUGUUGUUUGCCCCCGCGGCGGAAUCGGACUAACCGCCGGCGAAAGCGUGGCAGCCGGGCAGGAAACGCUAUCAAAGCCAAAACGGCGGAGGUGCUGGAAAUAAACCAGUUGCUUCGACAAAACAGGCCUCCGAGAGGAGUACAUCUUAGCAAUCUGAGUUAUAUCGACUCGACCGUGGUCUCGAAUGGAGCUCCAUCGCUCCCGCUGGAGUCUGAUUUGGAGAAACGUCGCAUUACAUCACUGUGGAUGCUCUGCAGUGAAUGGGUGCCGUCAGAAUGAGAGUCCGAACGGCUGAUAGAAAUGUCACAAUAAUCCUCAAGUAAUCAAUUAACAUCAUUCGAAGGCAAAAGCUGCAUGUUUGUGAGAAACAAAUCCAUCGUCGAUGCAUUUUUAACUUGGAUAGAGAGUCUUCUAUGCAUGAUGUUUUCUCCGGUGAAAAAGUGGUCUGGGCUGAAUUGUUUGGAAAUCUGCACAGAUCAAGCACCGUUUACAAGCAAAAACAGCUCUUAACAAAUGUGUGGAUGGAUCUUGAUGUGGGAGACAACAGGAGAUGGACUUUUUCACUGGAGCAUUUAUGGAUUCAUAUGGACUCAUAUUUUGACCAGAAGGAACAGUAUUAUGUUAAAACGCCUGGGUUUGUUUCUAACAUGCAGAUUUUUGCUUCUCAAGAUGUUAACUGAUGAACUGGAGUGGUGUGGAUUAUUGUGAUGUUUUUAUCAGCUGUUUGGACUCUCAUUCUGAUGACACCCAUUCACUGCAGAGUAUAUUGAGUAUAUUGGUGAGUAUAUUUUUAGCAAAUUUUCAUUUUUGGUUAAUUAUUCCUUUAAAGCUAAGAACCUUACUUCCCUUCACUGUUUUUUGCUUCAUACAUGAUAUCUAAACUUGUGCAGCUUGAUUUUAUUUUUGGUUACUUUUGUUUGCAAAUGCAAAUGUUUUGUAUAAAUCUUGAUUCAAACUUUCAGUAUCUUUUUCAAUCUAAGGAAGCCACAAGCAAGCAGUUUUUCUUUCGGUUCUUUACUUGAUUUCUUUUGCCCUCAGUUAUUUGCAGGUGGUUCAGUUUGUCAUAUCCCCAUGCUUUCCUAGGCUUAAUGUAUCCGUAUUCCCGAGUUUUUCAUGCAAUUCUCUCCAGACAUGGAAAAUCACAGGGGAACGAACAAGCAUGAGUGAUUUCCUGCAUGUUUCUCUGCUCUGAAUGGCUUUGCUCUGGGAACA